rnacentral:rRNA from 1 species
GUCACUGCUAUCGGGGUUCGAUUAAGCCAUGCGAGUCGAGAGGGUUCGGCCCUCGGCGUACUGCUCAGUAACACGUGGAUAACCUGUCCUAGGGAAGGGGAUAACCCCGGGAAACUGGGGAUAAUACCCUAUAGAUUACAGAUGCUGGAAUGCCCUGUAAUCCAAAGUUCCGACGCCCUAGGAUGGAUCUGCGGCCGAUUAGGUUGUUGUUGGGGUAAUGGCCCAACAAGCCCGUAAUCGGUACGGGUUGUGGGAGCAAGAGCCCGGAGUUGGAUUCUGAGACACGAAUCCAGGCCCUACGGGGCGCAGCAGGCGCGAAAACUUUACAAUGCGGGCAACCGUGAUAAGGGAACCUCGAGUGCCUGUAAAUGCAGGCUGUUCAGGUGCCUAAAACACACCUGAAGAAAGGGCCGGGCAAGACCGGUGCCAGCCGCCGCGGUAAUACCGGCGGCUCGAGUGGUGGCCGCUUUUAUUGGGCUUAAAGCGUUCGUAGCUGGGUUGUUAAGUCUCUUGGGAAAUCUGGCGGCUUAACCGUCAGGCGUCUAAGGGAUACUGGCAAUCUUGGAACCGGGAGAGGUGAGGGGUACUUCGGGGGUAGGAGUGAAAUCCUGUAAUCCUCGAGGGACCACCUGUGGCGAAGGCGCCUCACCAGAACGGCUUCGACAGUGAGGGACGAAAGCUGGGGGAGCAAACCGGAUUAGAUACCCGGGUAGUCCCAGCCGUAAACUAUGCGCGUUAGGUGUAUCGGUGACCACGAGUUACCGAGGUGCCGAAGGGAAACCGUGAAACGUGCCGCCUGGGAAGUACGGUCGCAAGGCUGAAACUUAAAGGAAUUGGCGGGGGAGCACCACAACAGGUGAAGCCUGCGGUUUAAUUGGACUCAACGCCGGGAAGCUCACCGGAUAAGACAGCAGAAUGAUUGCCGGGCUGAAGACUCUGCAUGACUAGCUGAGAGGAGGUGCAUGGCCGUCGUCAGUUCGUACUGUGAAGCAUCCUGUUAAGUCAGG